rnacentral:rRNA from 1 species
AUUGAACGCUGGCGGAAUGCUUUACACAUGCAAGUCGAACGGCAGCACGGACUUCGGUCUGGUGGCGAGUGGCGAACGGGUGAGUAAUGUAUCGGAACGUGCCCAGUCGUGGGGGAUAACGUAGUGAAAAUUACGCUAAUACCGCAUACGAUCUAUGGAUGAAAGCGGGGGAUCGCAAGACCUCGCGCGAUUGGAGCAGCCGAUACCAGAUUAGGUAGUUGGUGGGGUAAAGGCCCACCAAGCCAACGAUCUGUAGCUGGUCUGAGAGGCCGACCAGCCACACUGGAACUGAGACACGGUCCAGACUCCUACGGGAGGCAGCAGUGGGGAAUUUUGGACAAUGGGCGAAAGCCUGAUCCAGCCAUUCCGCGUGCAGGAUGAAGGCCCUCGGGUUGUAAACUGCUUUUGUACAGAACGAAAAGGUUUCUACUAAUACUAGGAGCUCAUGACGGUACUGUAAGAAUAAGCACCGGCUAACUACGUGCCAGCCGCCGCCGUAA